ensembl:lncRNA
CAAAUCCCCAUUUUUCCCCCCCAAAAUUCCAAUUUUUCCCCCCAAAAUUCCCUUUUUUUUUCCCAAAAAUUCCCAUUUUUUCCCUCCCAAAAAUUCCCAAUUUCCCUUCCCUAAAUUCCCAUUUUUCCCCCCAAAAUCCCCAAUUUUUCUCCCCCUCAAAAUCCAAUUUUUCCCCCCAAAAAUUCCCAUUUUUUCCGCCUUAAAAAUCCCAAUUUCCCCCCCCCAAAUUCCCAAUUUUUCCCCCAAAAUUCCCAUUUUUCCCCUCCCCAAAAUCCCCAAUUUUUCCCUCCUGAAAUUCCCAAUUUCACUCCCCAAAUACCCAAUUUUUUUUCCAGGAAUUUAUUGGAAUUUAUUGGGAAUUUUUGAGGGGUUUUUUUGGGAAUUUUUUGGGACUUUUUGGGAAUAUUUCCAGGGAUUUUUUGGGAAUAUUUUUGGGAUAUUUUGGGAUAUUUUGGGAAUUUUUUGGGGGUUGUGGACUCACCAAAAUUCCAUUUAUUCCCCCAAAUUUUCCCCCAAAAAUCCCGGAUUUUUUCAGGUGAGGACAGGAUUUUUUGGGAAUAUUUUUGGGAUAUUUUGGGAAUUUUUUUGGAAUUUUUAGGGGAAUUUUUGGGGUCGUGGACUCAUCAAAAUUCCAUUUAUUCCCCAAAUUUUCCCCAAAAAAUCCCGGAUUUUUUCGAGGCCGGAUGGGAUUUUUUGGGAAUAUUUCCAGGGGUUUUUUGGGAAUGUUUUGGGGAUAUUUUGGGAAUUUUUUGGGAAUUUUUGGGGCUCUCAGAGCUCUUGGAUUCACCAAAAAAUUCCAUUUUUUCCUCCGUAUUUUCCUCUAAAAAUCCCGGAUUUUUUCGAGGCUGGAUGGGGUUUUUUGGGAAUUUUUCCAGGGAUUUUUUGGAAAUGUUUUUGGGAAUUUUUGGGAAUUUUUUUGGGAAUUUUUGGGGAAUUUUUAGGGGAAUUUUUGGGGGUCGUGGACUCAUCAAAAUUCCAUUUUUUCCUCCGUAUUUUCCCCAAAAAAUCCCAGAUUUUUUCGAGGCCGGAUGGGAUUUUUUGGGAAUAUUUUGGGAUAUUUUGGGAAUGUUUUGGGGAUAUUUUGGGAAUUUUUGGGGCUCUCAGAGCUCUCGGAUUCACCAAAAAAUUCCAUUUUUUCCUCCGUAUUUUUCCCCAAAAAAUCCCGAAUUUUUUCGAAACCGGAUGGGAUUUUUUGGGAAUUUUUCCAGGGAUUUUUUGGGAAUAUUUUUGGGAUAUUUUGGGAAUUUUUUGGGAAUUUUUUGGGAAUUUUUAGGGGAAUUUUUGGGGGCCGUGGACUCACCAAAAUUCCAUUUAUUCCCCCAAAUUUCCCCUAAAAAAUCCCGGAUUUUUUCAGGUGAGGACAGGAUUUUUUGGGAAUAUUUCCAGGGAUUUUUUGGGAAUAUUUUUGGGAUAUUUUGGGAAUGUUUUGGGGAUAUUUUGGGAAUUUUUUGGGAAUUUUUGGGGCUCUCAGAGCUCGUCGUGGGCCCUGUGCAGGUCCUGCCCGUAGUCCGUGGCUCGGCUCCCCACGAAAAGCUCCCAACUCCCCAAAAUCUCCUCCCGGCUCAGGGACCCGUCCUGGGGGGAGAAAAUUCGGGAAAAUUCCAUGGAAUUUUGGGAAUUCUGGGAAUCCAGAAAAUUCCAGGUGAAUCCAUCUCCAAAUCCCCCCCAAAAACCCCAAAAUCCCCCCUAAAAACCCCAAAAAUCCCCCAAAAAUCCCCCUAAAACCUCCCCAAACCCCAAAUUUUGGUGGAUUUUUUUGAGAAUUCCAGAGAAUUCCAUGGAAUUUGGGGAAUUCUGGGAAUCCAGGGACAUUCCAGGUGAAUCCCUCUCCAAAUCCCCCCAAAAACCCCCAAAUUUCACCAAAAAACCCCAAAAAUCCCCCUAAAACCCCCCCCAAAACCCCAAAAUUUUUGGGGUUUUUUUGGGAAUUCCAGAGAAUUCCAUGGAAUUUUGGGAAUCCAGGGAUAUUCCAGGUGAAUCCCUCUCCAAAUCCCCCCCAAAAACCCCAAAAUCUCACAAAAAAAACCCCAUAAUCCCCAAAAAUCCCCCUAAAACCCCCCCAAAACCCCAAAUUUUCCCAGAUUUUUCCCGGAUUUUUCCCAGA